CAGUAGCCGCGGUAAUACGUAUGUCGCGAGCGUUAUCCGGAAUUAUUGGGCAUAAAGGGCAUCUAGGCGGCCGGAUAAGUCUGGGGUGAAAACUUGCGGCUCAACCGCAAGCCUGCCCUGGAAACUAUGCGGCUAGAGUACUGGAGAGGUGGACGGAACUGCACGAGUAGAGGUAAAAUUCGUAGAUAUGUGCAGGAAUGCCUAUGAUAAAGAUAGUUCACUGGACGGUAACUGACGCUGAAGUGCGAAAGCUAGGGGAGCAAACAGGAUUAGAUACCCCCGUAGUCCCUGUCUCUUAUAA
rnacentral:rRNA from 1 species